CGGAGCUCAAUGGUUUGAAAUAGUUGAUUGUGAUGAACUAAGAUAUUUACCUGGUGAAUCUCAUUGCUUCACAUCUCUUCAUUUUUUGAGGAUAUGGAAUUGUGAGAAGCCGGCAUCCAUCCAUUCCAAGCAUAAAACGCUGCACAGCUCUGGUGGAAUUGGAAACAUGGAACUGCCCUGAGUUGAUCUCAAUUCCCAGUGAUUUCUUAGAAUUUAAAAUUUUUAGAGUUCUACCAAGAGGACUACAAUGUUGUGCAUCUCUAGAGGGAUUUUCAAUAAUAAAUUGCAAAGGGCUUAUCCAAUUUAAUGACGCUGAUUUACAGGAUUGUCCUUGCUUCGUUAUCCGUUGUACCAUGUGAUAAGCUCGUCAGUAGGGGCGGAACUAGAAAGUUGUAGUGAGAGAGAGCAAAUAUUUUAUUUUUGAAA